rnacentral:rRNA from 1 species
GACGAACGCUGGCGGCGUGCUUAACACAUGCAAGUCGAACGGAAAGGCCCUGCUUUUGUGGGGUGCUCGAGUGGCGAACGGGUGAGUAACACGUGAGUAACCUGCCCUUGACUUUGGGAUAACUUCAGGAAACUGGGGCUAAUACCGGAUAGGAGCUCCUGCUGCAUGGUGGGGGUUGGAAAGUUUCGGCGGUUGGGGAUGGACUCGCGGCUUAUCAGCUUGUUGGUGGGGUAGUGGCUUACCAAGGCUUUGACGGGUAGCCGGCCUGAGAGGGUGACCGGCCACAUUGGGACUGAUACGGCCCAGACUCCUACGGGAGGCAGCAGUGGGGAAUAUUGCACAAUGGGCGGAAGCCUGAUGCAGCAACGCCGCGUGCGGGAUGACGGCCCUCGGGUUGUAAACCGCUUUCGCCUGUGACGAAGCGUGAGUGACGGUAAUGGGUAAAGAAGCACCGGCUAACUACGUG